rnacentral:lncRNA from 1 species
CAGGUGCCCACCAGCUCUUUCUUUUUCAAAGCAAUUUCUUCUUUCCUGGCGAAUGGACUCAGUAGCCGUAAAAUUCAUACACAUUAAGAAAACAUAAGUAAGCCCUACAGUAUGUUUCUGUGGCCGAUAUCUGCCCUCUGGGGUAAGCCAGGUCUUGCCAAUAAAUAAAAGGAGGAAGAUUAAAGGAGAGAAGAUUUAAAGAGUGUGUGAAGAGCAAUUCAAAGUCUAGCACUGUUUCUGGAAAACAAUUUCAAGUUCAAGCCCAGUGAGGCCACUGCCAUGCACAGAAGACAGACAGCACCAUCAGACUGCAUAGUGUUAAAUGAUCGAUUUUUGGACUAUUCAAGCUUUUUAUAUCCAUUAACUCCAAUUAAUUGGAUGGACUUAUCUUCCUUGGUGACUUGGUUUAUCGUGUGAGCCAUUCUGGCAGAAGUUAGACUUCAUGUAACCCCAUAAUGAAUUCCUGUCUAGUAGAUCACUCUAAUAGGCAAAACAUAUCGCAGCUACCCUCUGCCGGCUUCAGAGACUGGGGUCACUAUCAAACUGGUCCCUGGCCCACCUGCUUAAAUGCUGUGGCUCCUAACCACUCUUUGUGACUUUGCUGCAGCUACAGAUAUCAAGAACUCCAGUGGGCCAUGGUACUUCUUGGUCCAUGGCCGAGGGAUUAUGCAAAAGCUACAUCCAUGCAGGAGAUUUCCUUCAUAUUUGGAUAGUUUCAAAGAUAAGAGCAUCUUAUAAUAAAGGGGAAAGAAACUUCAGAAUGUCACAGGCAAAGUCUUAGGAAGUGAAGAUAUAAAGCCAAAAUAGGAGUAAAAUGUUCGUACUUGCCAUGAAGUUAAUUAACAUUCUUACUUGGAAAAAGUCAAGGUCAAACAUAAUUCAUCAAACAUAAUUCAGAGUUACUUGGCUUUAACGGAAGUGAUUCCUCAAGUCUCCCUUCAGGUUUUAAGACUUAUUAUGGAAAGCAUAAUAAAGUGUCCUACGUUUAUACAUCUGCUGAACCAUGUUAUGAAAUCCAGUACACUGUAGGCCCUGGGAUGGGGCAAGGAGCCAUUGUCCCUCUUUGCAGGUGAGAAACUGCAUCUCUGAGGAGCCAGUCACUUAUCCAAAGUGCAUCCUGCUUGGUGUUUCUAGCUGUUACCGUCUUCUGGCUGAGGACCAAUGCAAAACCCCAGUGGUGCCUCUUGUCAAGGCUAGCUGGUGCUCAUGCAGGUAUGACUUAGGUUUUGCAAUGAUGAAGCCAAAGCGCCUUGGAAGCAUUUUCCCUGCCCCGCUAACUAACUUCAUGCCAACUAGUCUGAAGGGUUCUACUCCACAGUUUCCAACAGUGCUUCUUAAGAUUGGAAAACAAAUGUACGGUAGAUGUUACUGCUUAGCUAUUGUCCUUUUAGACCUGUGCACUUUUUAAACCUCAUUUCAGUCUCUCACAUUGCAAAGAAGCUAGGGCAGGGCAAACACAAUAUUAGCUGAGGGGUCAGUAGACUCGAGGCUCAGUCCCGGCUCUUCCACUUGUUGGCAUGGUCUUCACCCCUCCAGACUAGCCUUUGCAUAGGAGUAAGACCUGCCUAUCCUAGCCUUUGCAUGGGAGUAAGGCCUGCCCAUCUCACAGGGACGUAAAGAAAUGAAAUAGCAAGAAGGGUGCAUUACAAAUUGCCAAGCAUUAGAAGUGUCAAAUACUGGAGAGCAACAAACAAAAAGGGAAAGAAUCAGAAACAGAAAGAGAGCAGGUGUGUGUGGUGGGGGAGCACUGCCUUCAGAAUUAAAACUAUGUUACAAGUUGGCUUCAUGCAAAAGCUCAGAAGAAGCUGUGUCCAGUCUUCUGAGGACAAAAUGAGAAUAAAUAUCAAACACAUAUGCCUUUCCCUGUGUUUUUCCUCUUUAAAAUAUACGGGUAACAAAAUUGACCCAGCUCUUAGAACAGGAGAAAGGAAGAGAAACAGAGCAGUUCUAAGAAAAGAUGAAGCAAGCAAAAUACCCCUCAUGUGUGAGUUCAGAACACUUCAAAGAUUGGAAUACAUGACAUUUUGCAAUGGUUGCAAGUGGCAUUCCUUGCAAAGUCCUGUGAAGUGGGGCUUGCUGCCUCCCCACUGUAGGAAUGUAGGUUCACAGUCAUGAGGGCCAUAUAGCAUGCUCCGAUGCCAACCAGUGCCAACAGGGCAAAGAGGAGGUAGUUCACUCUCUUCCUCUCAAGCUCUCACUCCCACUCAUUUAGAUUCAUGCUACUUUCAUUUUCAUAGUGCUUUAAUGAAUGGGCCUCACUCUGGCUGGCUCACAAGGUCUUGCUAUUCAAAG